rnacentral:rRNA from 1 species
AUCCUGGCUAGGACGAACGCUGGCGGCGUGCUUCAUACAUGCAAGUCGAACGAUAAGGCACCUUCGGGUGUACAUAAGUGGCGGACGGGUGAGUAAUAUGUAGAGAAUCUGCCCUAGAGAGCGGGACAACAGUUGGAAACGACUGCUAAUACCGCAUAUGAGCGUAGCUGAAAUGCUAUUCUUGAAAACUCCGGUGCUCUGGGAUGAGUCUGCAUCUGAUUAGCUAGUUGGGGGUGUAAUGGACCACCAAGGCGACGAUCAGUAGCUGGUUUGAGAGGAUGAUCAGCCACAAUGGGACUGAGACACGGCCCAUACUCCUACGGGAGGCAGCAGUAGGGAAUUUUGCGCAAUGGGGGAAACCCUGACGCAGCAACGCCGCGUGACCGAUGAAGCCCUUCGGGGUGUAAAGGUCUGUCAGUGGGGACGAAUAUUGACGGUACCCACAGAGGAAGCAUCGGCUAACUCCGUGCCAGCCGCCGC